GGGGGUCGUUGAGGGCGGCUGAGGCAGCAGGAGUCUAGAACCUUGGUGAGCCUAGCGGUGCUCUAGAAAGUCAUCAAAUUAGUCGGGUGUUUGGUGGAGCCUGAAUGUAGCCCCAGUGGUGUGGUGCCCUGGUUCUCGGGAGCUUUUCAUGAAGCUUCCCCUGACAAGAUGGAUGGGUACUGCAAUGAUGUCACCAUCAUCCCUUCAUAAACCCUCCAUUUCCACGUCUACCUGCCUCAGUGGAGAGCAUCCUAUCACAGAGAGAAAACUUCCUGGGCUGGAAGGCUCCGCCCACCUCCCAACUCCAUAAAGCCAUCCAAAUGGUCCUGG